UACACACCGCCCGUCACACCAUUUUUUUUUUUUUUUUUUUUUUUUUUUUUUUGGAGUGGGUUUCACCAGAAGCAGGUUCCCCCCCCCCCCCCCCCCCCCCCCCCCCCCCGCCUAACCGCGAAGGGGGCGCCUACCACGGUGAGAUUCAUGACUGGGGUG
rnacentral:rRNA from 1 species